rnacentral:misc_RNA from 1 species
AAAUAAUUUUAUUUACAUGCAUUGACUUGUUCGAAAUAAGUGACUAACUAAACACGUAAAAUCAUUUUGAAUUAUGCAAUCACAUUGGUGGCUACGAUUCCUCCUUUUGUGAAAUACUACCGUCGAUCCCGGAAAGUACUCGAAUAGAAUUCUUCCUCGGCAUGACAGACGGAAUGUGGGAACGGAACUGACAUGGAGUAAACUGUAACGUGAAGGACUCGCGUUUGUCUUUUAAAUAUUGAUUUGUCUGUCGAACGGACAUUAUGUGACAACCAUGAACGUUUUUUUUAUACUUUGCUUCAUUGACGAGACUUACGUGAAUCCAAUCGAAUUGCGAGUAACCUAGCAUAAUUUCUUCAUAAUGGACCAUUUGAAAAGUACAAGCACGCAUGUAAUCAUGAAGAUCAUGAAACAUUCAUGUAUUGCCCAUAAUUGCUAUUUUCAGGGGACAAUGUGGAGUUUCCAAAAAUUUUGGCUAUUAUAAAUCUUUUAGCAAACAAAUAAAUUACGAGUAUUGAGAUGGACUCUCCACCGUCAUGUUCACUAAGCGCUACUGGACCUCUCAGUGAUCUUGGUAGCAGUGGAAUUGGAGGGUCCAUUUCUAGUGAUUCUGUUCGAGCACAUCUUGCAAUCGAGAUGCAAGAAAGCGAUGUAGAAAGUAAAUCCUUAUCGCAAGAUUCUUUUGAUUACUCGGAUGGUAUGUGCGGUGAAAAUUUUAAUACGCUGAAGAAAGGACCAGGUUGGACUGAUGCUGAUGGAAAGCUAGAAGUUGAAGUGGUCGAUGUAGCUAUUAAACCUCCACCAGAAUUUCAAGAUAGCCCUUCUCCUCCUAAUUCUGAAUCUUCGUCUGCACCAAUUCUUAGCUAUGCACAAUUAAUGAGACAAAAAGUUCCACGGUUAAUAGAUGAUUAUGCUGAGACCUUAGUACAGUCAAUGAUCGAAGAAGCAUUAAUAAUAUCUUGUAGAAUAUCAUGGCCAGAAGGAAGAAUAGCACCAGCAACAAACCAUAUACCGGUGGUAACUCGUAGUGUAUACAAUUCAAAACGUCUUUGGGCAACAGACUUGUUAACACCUUCGUCGUGUCAAGGGGCUACCACUUUGAUUACUCCUUACAAUACUUUGAAUCGUCCAAAUUCACGAUGUUCUUUAGCUUCUUCUCGUUUGUCCAGUUCUCAUAAUUCGAUAAAUACCUCAGGACUGAGUCACAAAGCAGACGAUAGCAGCUUUAUUACUUCUGCUAUGUCGCACGAUGUUUUAACGACCAGUGAGAUCAGUGAUAUGUACAAUGUGCCCUUUGAUUCCGACAUUUAUACUGUACCAAUAGAUGUAGUUAGACCUUUGCAUUAUCUUAGAACACCGCAAAGGCCGAAACGUCAUAGACAUCAUCGUAAAAGAAGAAGAAAUGUAUCUGCUAGUUCUCAAAGUGAAUUAGAAGCUCAUAUACAACAGGCAAGGCAUUACUGUGGGAAACCUCGUGCUAUUACCCAUGUUAUAAAAUCCCAGAGACUGCUAUCUGACGUAUGUUGCAACGAAGCUGGAAAUGGGAAACGUCAUAGUGUUCCGGGUACAUCUGGCCGACAUGUAUCCCGGACAUCUAAUGGUCAUAUGCAUAAUAUCGGUGAACCGAUUCAUAUGACUUUACAUGAAGUGCGUCAAUAUUUACAAACGCUAUAUUCAAGCUCCAGUGACUCUAGUGAAAAUAAAAUUAAACGCGAUAAAGUUCCAAUAAGUCAUACACCUGUACACCUUGCGAUGCCAAAAGGUAUUAGUGUAAAUAAUAACAAUAGAUAUAGUAAUCCGCAUACAGAUUCAGCGAUGGAUAUUCCAAUCUCAAACAAAAAUAGCAAUGGACUGAUUCACAAUAACAAUAAUAAUAAUAAUAACAAUAACAAUAAUAAUAAUGGUAAUGUUAAGAAACAUAAAAAGAAUUCGUUUGUUAGUAUUAAACAUAAAAAGGUAAAAGAGGAACCACAUAAGGAAAAGGUUGAUUCUGAAAGAGACAAGAUCAAGAAGGGUCAACGGAAUUUCUCAUUAAAUUUGAAACAAACACUUUGCAAUAUCUUUAGAUUCAGACGUUUGGGUUCUCCAGACCAUUUCGUAGAAAAAAGAAAUAGCAUUGUACAGGGUGAAAUCGUAGAAGAGGAAGAGGGUGUUGAUUCUGACCAACAUGCUAAUAAUAAUAAUACUACCUCAGAGGUAGAUCCCACUGUACAAAAGCUACCUUUUUUUAAGCGUGCGUUACCGCCAUUACCAAAAAGUAAUGGACACGUAGGAGGCGUAGAGCAAGCAGAAGAUGCGCUAACAACGAUGGUAUCCAAAUGUGAGAGUCCAACUUCUGUACCGCCACAAAUGCCUCCACCUGCACCAAAAGUCGAAGAAGAGCCAACAGAAGAUACUAGUAUGGAUUUUGCUGCUAGCAUCGAGAAAGUAAAAGAUUAUGGAUGGUAUUGGGGCCCAAUAUCUGGCGAAGCUGCGGAGAAAAUACUGUCCAAUGAACCGGAUGGAUCAUUCAUUGUGCGAGAUAGUAGCGAUGAUCAUUAUAUUUUCUCUUUAUCAUUUAGACUUAACAGUUGCGUGCGACAUGUAAGAAUAGAGCAUGAUCAGGGUAAUUUCAGCUUUGGAAGUUGCACAAAAUUUAAGUCUCAUACAAUUGUCGAUUUUAUUGAAAAUGCAGUAGAGCAUUCGCGUAGUGGACGAUACCUGUUUUUUCUUCAUCGACGGCCAGUGUUAGGUCCAAUGCGUGUGCAACUUCUUCAUCCAGUGUCGAGAUUCAAACAGGUUCAGAGUUUACAACACAUGUGCAGAUUUGUUAUUUUGAAAAUUGUACGCAGGGAUCUUAUUCCAACUCUACCUCUGCCACGGCGGCUCAUCGAUUACCUGAGUAUGCCUCAUUACUACAGCGAACAAUUAGCUGAACAAGAUGACAGAGCUGAAUCUCCUGUUAGUUCUUCAACUGGUGAAUUAGAGAAGAUUUGUUUCACACCGCAAGGCCUAUCGUGAGCUUCAUAAAUCAUGGAAUAGCGAAGGCCACAUAUACAUAUUGCUCAGAAUUUUUUGUUUGCACUUUCUUGAACUUUGCAGUACUACACAAACAAAUUUUAUACUCAAUAUUCACGUGGUAGAUUUUGCAAUAUAAGUACUAUUACCAGAUGGAAAAGACUAAGUCUAAGGAUGAAUUUAAACAUAUGUGAAGCAUGUGCGUAUAAUUAAUGGUUAAAGGCACCAUGAUACCUCAGCCGAAGAGGGAGGUAAUACAAGAGAUACUUUCAAAGAUACACAAAAACAGGGGUGUGAAUGACUCAUUAAGGCUUUAAUAAGAUAAGGUGUAUAACACUAAACAAAAUGAAACCUGAGUAAGAAACACCUUUAUGAUAUGUUUCUAAAGUAAAAAAUCAUUUUUUGGUUUAAAAAGCUAUGAAGUGUUUAAAUAUACAAACUCUAUCAUAAAUCAUCCCCAAAAAUUUCCAUAAUAUAUUCACCUAAAAUAUUACUCUAGUUUCAUUUUCCAAUUAUUUACGAGUAAUGUGAUCCUUUGCAAACAAUAUUUUUUUGCAUUAUCCACUAAUGGAUACUUCGUGCUAUUUUCAUGAGUGUAAUGCAGAUGAUUUAAAUAAUUGAACUUUAAGAGCACAAGAAAAGAGAUUCUGUUUUUGAUUAGUUCAUUACAACGAGAGUACUCUAAGUGUAAACAAAUGCAUAUGUAUUUGAUUACCCAUGUUU